GAUUUACUAUUGAUUUGUUUUGUUUUUCUGUCGCAGGUGAUAUACUUUGAUAGGGAAUCUGAAAAGAGGACUAAUUCUUUUACCAUGUACGUUAUUUUCUCAAAAAGAUUCAUAGUUUGUUGGUAAACCCUAACCUUAAUUUCUUCUUUUUUUGAGUUUUUGGUUGUACCAAUGCUCUGAUGGGAUGGGUUCAUCAUAUAUAUUCUUAGUGUUUGCUUAAUAGUAAAAAUCGCAGGAUUAUAGAAAGUUAUUGUAUUGCUUGAACAACAGUAAUGAGGCUAAACCUCCACAGUACUUUUUAUUUCCCAUGAAUUUCACUGAAAAGGUAUGAGCUUUGCAACAACACCCUAACCCUAUUUUGCAUUUCUCUAUUUCUUCUCAUAAUUUUAGCUUUGAUAUUUGAUUGUAUAAGUGUUGUUAUGGUGAUAGAAGCGUAGAAAUUGGAAACGCGACCAGGAAAAUACGAGCUUUGUGAGUACACAAAUUGUACAUAUAUUUUCAAUCAAAAAAAAAUCAUUGAUCUCACACCUUAUUUACUAUUCGUAAACCCUCACCCUAAUCUAUAAACCAAAUCUUUUGUUUUGUUUUGUUUUGUUUUUUGCAAAGAUUAAUGUUGAUUCAAGGUUUUGUGUAUUUAGAAAGAAGAAAUCCGGGGUAUUAUGAACCAAGGUCCUAAAAGUUUGGGACAAAAUUGGCUUACCAUUAGAAGUUUCUGGGUCUUUAUGGAGACACUCGGUCAAUCAAGAACGCUUAGAAACAGCAUUCAAAGCUCCUCCUGUGCCACAGGGGCUCUUUUCAUAUUCGAUGGGUGCAUAUCCAGCAGCGCAAAACGUGUGGCCCGCAGGUUAUGGAUCUCAACCACAUGCUUGGAACCAGGCUUCCACGUGCAUAGAGACAACAAUGGAACACUGGAUGCACUCAACAGGCGGGAAUUCAUAGUAAAUGUGAACUUUUUUAAUUUUUUUGCAAUUCACAAUUCUCACUACCCAUGCUCAUUCAUUUGAUUCCUGGGACACUCAUAGAUUUCUCAUCUCCCUCCACAAAAAGUAUCAGAUGUUUAAUGGAUUUGAACUUCAAAUUGUUUUGAUUUCUCAUAUACCAGAAAUUCAUGGUUUUUAUUUCUCAUAUACGAGAAAUUAGGUCUUACUUGGUUAACUAGCAGUUGGUCAUUCAUGGAUUAAUUCUAUGUUCUCAUCUCCCUCCAAAAAAAAAUAACAGAUGUUUAAUGGAUUUGAACUUCAAAUUUUUCUUCUAAUGGUGUUGUUGAUAAGAAGGAGAAAAAGGAAAAAGAUUGUAUCUUUCGUACCAUUAUUCGUGCAAAAUCCCAAGCAAGUGCAGCCACCGCAACAAUUAAGUAUAACUGCUACUGGAUGCAACUUAUGAUGCAGCCACUGCAAAAGUUAAGUAUAACUGCUAAUGGAUGCAACCUAUGAAUAUGGAUAUUUUUCAUUUCAGUAGUUACAAGCCAGCCUAGCUCUACCAUCUGCCAAUUCUAAUGGCACAGAUUUAAUUUUCUGAAAGUAAUCAAAAAGUUGUUGUUUCAAUUAUAAAAAAAUGCAAUUUGAAUCUAUUCGGUUUUUUGCUUCUUAGUUUUUUUCUUUAUCAUCAAGGCCAUCGAGAAGUCAUGCUUUGGUCACUGUCUGAAUGAGAUACAUGAAAUGUCUUCUGACAAUGCUCAUGUCAUCCAAGACAAGGUAAGUUUACUCAUCAUAGUAACGAAAAUUUACAGUACGUUGAAUUCUACUAAUACACUUCUCAUAUAACCAAUGUGGAUCUCAUACGUUCCCUUUUCUCCUAUUUAACCUUGCAUAUUUGUUGUUAUAUCCACGGUAUUGCACUAUUUAACCCGUGUAAUCCAUACGAGACUCCAACAGUCUCCAAUUCGGUCCUCAAAAUCCAUCAGUUGAUGUCGUACCAGGAACUUUAAGAACGGUCGAUGAAUAAAAGAAAGAUUAAAGGCAUGUAAUUUCUGAAACCACCCUACUGCUCUAUAUAUCAUGUACAUGUCUAACACAAUUUGAUAAUAUUUGACAAACAUUUGAUCGUAAUCCCUCUAACCAGAGUUCAAGAGCCGAGUACAAGGCGUGUCUGGCAUUGGCUUGGACCUGUUUAGAAGCCAACAUGCAAACAAGGUACGGUGCUGGUGAUAUGUUUACAAUGGGUGUUGACAAGGUUUGGUGGCUGUAUUUUGCAGUUGUACGGUGCUGGGGAACGAUCUGUUGAAGGAUAUCGACUGCAUUUAAGCCGAUAAACUGGCGAGAAAGGAGGGUCCAUGGACUGCUGCUACCACUGAUUUCGUGUGGCAAAAUGGUGAUGAACGGAGAGGAUCAUGAGGUUGUUCUGAGAUGGAAUUCAGUAAGGAUGAUGGAUGGAUAUACAAAGAUUGUUGCUAUGAUUCAGGGAUUCAGGGAUUUGACCUAAAAUUGGCGUGGGUCGUAGUUAGAGAUGAUCAUAGGUUGUUUUACUCUGUGUUAAAGAUGUAGUUAGAUUUUGGUUUUUGCAGAAGUUGAAUUACUUUUGGGACCAGAAGAAAGGGCAAUCCUUGAGCAAAAUGAAGCUCCUGAUCUUACUAAAAUAUUAAUUGUUAGUUACUUGAACCUUUGUUGUCUACUUGAUUUUUGUUCCCUUUAAAAUUUCGCUAAAAAGGGCAUGCAUUCAUAGUUCA